rnacentral:rRNA from 1 species
CGGAUUGAAGGCUGAAAUUCGCCUUCAUGAAGCCGGAAUUGCUAGUAAUGGCAGGUCAGCAUACUGCCGUGGAUACGUUCCCGGGCCUUGUACACACCGCCCGUCACACCAUGAGAGUUGGGAAUACCCGAAGCCUGUGAGCUAACGUUAAGAGGCAGCAGUCGAAGGUAGAAUCAAUGAUUGGGGUGAAGUCGUAACAAGGUACC